rnacentral:rRNA from 1 species
UCCGUAGGGUGCAAGCGUUAAUCGGAAUUACUGGGCGUAAAGCGUGCGCAGGCGGUUUUGUAAGACAGAGGUGAAAUCCCCGGGCUCAACCUGGGAACUGCCUUUGUGACUGCAAGGCUGGAGUGCGGCAGAGGGGGAUGGAAUUCCGCGUGUAGCAGUGAAAUGCGUAGAUAUGCGGAGGAACACCGAUGGCGAAGGCAAUCCCCUGGGCCUGCACUGACGCUCAUGCACGAAAGCGUGGGGAGCAAACAGG